rnacentral:misc_RNA from 1 species
CUUCUUCUUCUUUUUCUUCUUCUCCUUCUUCUUUUAUAAGUUUACUUUGUGUGAUUGCAUGGGCGUGGACUGGAGAUCGUGCGCCUUUGGGUUCCUCAGGCGCUAUGGGCUGCGUCUGUGCGCCUCGAGCGCACCUCGGGCACGCCUCAGGCGAGCCUUUGAUAAGCAAUUCAAUCACUUAUAUACAAAAUUUGUCCAUCACUCUCUCUGUAUUUUACAUUGCAUGUUAUCAGAACCCGGACUAAAUUUUGAGUUUCAGCCGCACAUAAAGCUGUAUAUUUUCGCAUUGAAUUAAAAUUCUAAUUAAUUGUCAAGUGACAACAAUAUGAUUGCAUUGCACUUGAAGGGAGUGUUGAGAAACCACAUUGAAAAAAAUAUAAAGUAAAAGAGCAUUAUAUUUAUAUAAGUAGUUAGCUUGCACCAUUAAACUGGCCAAUUAUUUUGACGCACUUAUACAAACCCAUAUUAAAAUGAAUUAAUAGUAAUACGAAUCUAACAAAAACCCAGAACGACAGAAGAUCCAAAGCAAUAAAAAAGCUAGGGUUCCAAUAUCAGAAGCAGAUCCGGAACUCACAAACCAUAAAAAUCACAGACCCUAUACUUCCAAACUGAUUUAAAAUACAAUAUAAACUUACAAAAACACAGGCAAAUACUUAGAGAUAUGCGUAGAGCUGCAAACGAUAGAAUCAGAAAAUAACCCAGAAUCAAAAUCAUACAGUAAAUUAGCAACAACUGAGAAAUUUGACUAUAAUAGAAAAAAUUUGAAGAAAG